AGCGAACGCUGGCGGCAGGCCUAACACAUGCAAGUCGAACGAAAUCUUCGGAGUUAGUGGCGGAGGGGCGAGGAACACGAGGGAACGCGCCAUUUGGAUUGGGAUAAUUCAGGGUAGCCUGGGUUAAUACCGACUGCGCCCUCCGGGGGAAAGAUUUAUCGUCAUUAUAGCGGCACGCGUCUAACUAGCUAGUUGGUGAGGUAUCGGCACACCAAGGAGACGAUCAGUAGCUGGUUUGAGAGCAAGUCCAGCCACACUGGGACUGAGACACGGUCCAGACUCCUACGAGAGGCAGCAGGGGGGAAUUUUGCGCUAGGGGCGACAGCCUGACGCAGCCUGGCCGCGAGAAUAAUGAUGGUCUUAGGAUUGUACUAUUCUUUCUCCGGGGACGAUAAUGACGGUACCCAAAGAAGAAGCCCCGGCUAACUUCGUG
rnacentral:rRNA from 1 species